GACGAACGCUGGCGGCGUGCCUAAUACAUGCAAGUUGAGCGCUGAAGGUUGGUACUUGUACCAACUGGAUGAGCAGCGAACGGGUGAGUAACGCGUGGGGAAUCUGCCUUUGAGCGGGGGACAACAUUUGGAAACGAAUGCUAAUACCGCAUAAAAACUUUAAACACAAGUUUUAAGUUUGAAAGAUGCAAUUGCAUCACUCAAAGAUGAUCCCGCGUUGUAUUACUUGUUGGGUAGGGAAAGGCCCACCAAGGCGAUGAUACAUAGCCGACCUGGGAUGGUGCUCGGCCAAAUUGGGACUGAGACAAGGCCCAAACUCCUACGGGAGGCCGCAGUAGGGAAUCUUCGGCCAUGGACGAAAGUCUGACCGAGCAACGCCGCGUGAGUGAAGAAGGUUUUCGGAUCGUAAAACUCUGUUGGUAGAGAAGAACGUUGGUGAGAGUGGAAAGCUCAUCAAGUGACGGUAACUACACAGAAAGGGACGGCUAACUACGUG
rnacentral:rRNA from 1 species